rnacentral:rRNA from 1 species
GACGAACGCUGGCGGCGUGCUUAACACAUGUAAGUCGAACGGAAAGGCCCUGCUUUUGUGGGGUGCUCGAGUGGCGAACGGGUGAGUAACACGUGAGUAACCUGCCCUUGACUUUGGGAUAACUUCAGGAAACUGGGGCUAAUACCGGAUAGGAGCUCCUGCUGCAUGGUGGGGGUUGGAAAGUUUCGGCGGUUGGGGAUGGACUCGCGGCUUAUCAGCUUGUUGGUGGGGUAGUGGCUUACCAAGGCUUUGACGGGUAGCCGGCCUGAGAGGGUGACCGGCCACAUUGGGACUGAGAUACGGCCCAGACUCCUACGGGAGGCAGCAGUGGGGAAUAUUGCACAAUGGGCGGAAGCCUGAUGCAGCAACGCCGCGUGCGGGAUGACGGCCUUCGGGUUGUAAACCGCUUUCGCCUGUGACGAAGCGUGAGUGACGGUAAUGGGUAAAGAAGCACCGGCUGACUACGUG